GGAAAAAAUUAGGUUUAAAAAACUGAAUUACCUGGAGCAGAGCCACUGUUUCCUAGAAUAGAGGAAAUAUUUUCUAAGAUGGAAAGGCAAAAAGGCACUUUCUUGGAGAGGACAGAUUCUUUUCUAGUGGGACUACAAGCUUGCCCUGAGAGCGAGAAGCAAUCUUGCUGCUAGUAUCAAAAUCCUGCUGCAGCGGGAAGGUGCUUGAUGCAUGUGAAGAUGUGAUUAUCCAUAGGAAGGAGAGAUCCUAUAGCUGUGGUCAUGCUGGCGUGGUGUGCUGACUCAACAAAACGUCCCCUGCGAAUUUGACAGCUGUGUGGUUUGCAGUUUCAGAAAUCCAAGCAUCUUUCUGGGUAUUAGUCUGGAGGCUGUGGACAAGAAAGAAGCUGCAGAGCGGUGGAUGAGGGAUUAGCAAGUGCGCAGAGAUAGGGAAACUGAGGCACGGGGCAAGUCAAUGUCUCUGGAUGAGAAGUCCUGGAUCCCAGUUCAGCAAAACUUCUGCUAAGCGCAAACAGAAGGCAAAGAGACCUUCCCAUUUCAAUACUAACACAGCAUUCAGGAGAUUUAAUUCUAGCUGUGCCUCUGCCGCAGAUUUCCUGUGUACAUUUGUGCAUUUACCUUCUUUCAGCGAACAGUAGGCAGUAACGUUGCCUUUACAAACCACCUGCUUGGGUUGUGAGAGCUUCGGGCCAGGAAUGAUUCUUUCUCAGGCACUUGAACAGUGUUUGCUAUAAAUGGGACCUACUCUUGCCUCUGCUGUCUGUGUCAAUGGUCAGGCAGAAGGUUUCCAAAUAAAUUUUGGGUUGAAAUUUAAUUUUUUUGAUUCCUUCAGAACAUCUGACUUUCACAAAAUCAGCCCCCUUGGAAGCUGAACACUUUUGCUUUCCAGCCCAGACCUGAAAACUUUUGAUUGUGAACUUUUGGACAGAGAGGUCCACUUUCUUUCCAUACAAGCAGCACAUAUUAUGACCUCUUUACAGUGAAAUCCAGCCCGAAAAAAGCAUUAAUUAAAAUCCCAACCAAUGGAUAAACAACCAGUUCCACCUACAUCCUAGACACAAUUUCCAAAAGAACCUACCUCCUUUUCUUCGAAGCAAAACAAAUCUAGAGACCCCCACAAAUAUUUAUAAGUAUUCAUGUCUCACUGAGAGGUAUUUGAGUUGGUUGGCAUUGCUUUGCUGUUUAUCCGUGUGAUGAGGACAGGCAGGUUCGUGCCGGUGUUGCAAUACCACCCUUCAGAGGAUGCUGGCUUUCCUUUUACACUGGGCUGACUCUACUCUUACAGGAUAGUUUCUCUGUAUUUGCCUUGUUGGAGCUGAUAGCACAGAUCUGUGCAGGAAUCAGCUCCGUCUUUUGGCUUGUACAGGUGAAACUGUACAAACAAGUCUCUUUUUUUCCAAUUAAUAAAUAAAUAAAAAACUCUAAAACCAUUAAGGUACUACAAAAGAAAGCCGGAGAUACAUGAUUAGAAAGUGGAUCCUUGACCAAAGUGAUGCAGCAGCUACUCAAAAGCAGUGAUUUCUUCUGAGUAUUUUAAAAAAGGUAAAUCCAUUGUCUUUUUAUGAAGUUGGGUAGGGAAUAAGUCUAAAUUAAACACAUAGGCUUAGGAACUACUCUCCUGCAGAGACCCAUGAGUCUCUGCUUUCCCCUGGCAAAGCUGAAGUUAGCCUAAAAUUCCUCCACCCUGCCAUCUUCUUCCCCUAUCACAAAAUGCUUUAAUCAAAAUAGAAGCU